rnacentral:rRNA from 1 species
UACAGAGGUCUCAAGCGUUGUUCGGAUUCAUUGGGCGUAAAGGGUGUGUAGGUGGCGCCGUAAGUCGGGUGUGAAAUUUCGGAGCUUAACUCCGAAACUGCAUUCGAUACUGCGGUGCUUGAGGACUGGAGAGGAGACUGGAAUUUAUGGUGUAGCAGUGAAAUGCGUAGAGAUCAUAAGGAAGACCAGUGGCGAAGGCGGGUCUCUGGACAGUUCCUGACGCUGAGGCACGAAGGCCAGGGGAGCAAACGGG